AGUCGAUUCUGAUUCGCGGCGUGAUUUAAAUUAUUCUCCUGACCUACGUAGUUGGUAUAUGUAAAUCUCGGGAAUCCGCUGAUCAGCUCUUCAGAUCUUCUCGUUCAACUCGCCUACAAUUCUGAGAGUUUGUUAGUUCUCAAUGGGUUUCGGUAGAGUUCUGAUCUGUUCUCUAUGAUGUCUGAAGUUCUUCUCUUCUAUUCUGUUUUCUGGAAAGGUUGGAUUAGAGGGAAAGUAGGAGGGGUUCAAAAGGAGUCGCGGUUUCUCGCGGGUCUCGGAUGAUUGGUUAAGGAUGAUGGAAU